AUUGAACGCUGGCGGCAGGCCUAACACAUGCAAGUCGAACGAGUGGCGGACGGGUGAGUAAUGUCUGGGAAACUGCCCGAUGGAGGGGGAUAACUACUGGAAACGGUAGCUAAUACCGCAUACCAUCGGAUGUGCCCAGAUGGGAUUAGCUAGUAGGUGGGGUAACGGCUGACCUAGGCGACGAUCCCUAGCUGGUCUGAGAGGAUGACCAGCAACACGGGAACUGAUACACGGUCCAAACUCGUACGUGAGGAAGCAGUGGGGAAUAUUGCACAAUGGGCGCAAGCCUGAUGCAGCCAUGCCGCGUGUAUGAAGAAGGCCUUCGGUUUGUAAAGUACUUUAAGCGAGUAGGCGUUACUCGCAGAAGAAGCACCGGCUAACUCCGUGCCAGCAGCCGCGGUAAUUC
rnacentral:rRNA from 1 species